CCAGCAUCUCACUUAUUCUGAUGAAAUCUCAGGAUUUGUUUCUUUUUUUCUCUGUGUGUUAGUGAGUAUAACAUAAUAAGUCUCAAUAUG